AAACAUGUAUACAAAAAUUACAGUAAAUGCGACGAUGAUAAUUA
rnacentral:guide_RNA from 1 species